UACGGGGGGGGGCAAGCGUUGUUCGGAAUUACUGGGCGUAAAGGGCUUGUAGGUGGCCAACUAAGUCAGACGUGAAAUCCCAAGGCUCAACCUUGGAACUGCCUUUGAUACUGGGGAUCUUGAGUCCGGGAGAGGUGAGUGGAACUGCGAGUGUAGAGGUGAAAUUCGUAGAUAUUCGCAAGAACACCAGUGGCGAAGGCGGCUCACUGGCCCGGUACUGACGCUGAGGUGCGAAAGCGUGGGGAGCAAACAGG
rnacentral:rRNA from 1 species